GACGAACGCUGGCGGCGUGCUUAACACAUGCAAGUCGAACGGAAAGGCCCUGCUUUUGUGGGGUGCUCGAGUGGCGAACGGGUGAGUAACACGUGAGUAACCUGCCCUUGACUUUGGGAUAACUUCAGGAAACUGGGGCUAAUACCGGAUAGGAGCUCCUGCUGCAUGGUGGGGGUUGGAAAGUUUCGGCGGUUGGGGAUGGACUCGCGGCUUAUCAGCUUGUUGGUGGGGUAGUGGCUUACCAAGGCUUUGACGGGUAGCCGGCCUGAGAGGGUGACCGGCCACAUUGGGAUGGAGAUACGGCCCAGACUCCUACGGGAGGCAGCAGUGGGGAAUAUUGCACAAUGGGCGGAAGCCUGAUGCAGCAACGCCGCGUGCGGGAUGACGGCCUUCGGGUUGUAAACCGAUUUCGCCUGUGACGAAGCGUGAGUGACGGUAAUGGGUAAAGAAGCACCGGCUAACUACGUG
rnacentral:rRNA from 1 species